rnacentral:lncRNA from 13 species
UAUCUUGACAAAUGCACUCUUCCUUCUGCAGGUUUUCCCAUGCCCUCUUUUGGACUUGAAGGGGGUCAUUGGGAUAAUAAGGCUUGAUAACUCCCUGGACUUAGGAAGCAAGAGAGCAGGAGUCAAGAAAAGCUUUUGUGCUUUUUGGUUUCUGUAGAAAAUAUGAUGGAUUGAGAUGAACUUUUAAAAAACAGGCCUAAUGAAGAAAAGCAGAUUUGAGGAGGAAAGCUUUGGUAGGCAGCCUGAAAUUGCUCAUCAAGGAAAAAGACCAGACUUGGAUUUUAAAUGGCUUCUUCUGAAUGAAGCAAUUAAUGCUAAAAGGAACAUGUUGUCUCCUCAGCAUUUAAAAGCAUUGUUUCUGAAGAUGGUCUGCGUAAAAAGAUAGCCAGAGAUUUCAUGCCAUUGACUCACAGAAAGCCUAUUACUGUUCUCUCUGUGGAGUCCAUCAUCCCUAACGGAAGAUCCCUGAUAUUUUGGAUACACCUCCAAGGGCCUUGUAUUAGGCAUUGUGAAGGAAAGAAAUGCACGGAAAAUCUCAUAGAGGCUGAUAAAUCAAGGAUAAUGCCUAAGGUUCCGUUUGUCAAAUGUGUGUGACCCUUAUGAUAAGUCACCAGAGGUGAUGAGGGAGAGAGAGAAAAAAAGAAAAUUACAACUGUAAAUAGUCUCCGAACAGUGAAAGAUCAAAACAGACAGUCUCUGGCUUUACCGGAUGAGUCACCGUUGCAGCCCGACCGCAAAAACAAGCGUGGCUUCUCUGCUUAGCAGCAGUCUUCCUGUCUGGAAAGGAAACACUGUUCAGAUUGGAGAUACUGGCCAUUUUACAGACUUCAAAGCAACUUAGGCAACUGAACUGUCAGGUGGGAAAACAGGUAAAACAAUUUUCCUAGAGUUUGUCUGGAGAAUCAGCUACUCAACUCUGAUUUGAAGCUGCAUGGAAAUACUUUCAUCUUUAGCCAAAAAUGUUUUAUUUUAAAAAGUUUUAGUAAGAUGGUCUUCAGUUCUAGAGUAGUGUGUCUAUUUUUCCUCAAACAAUGUAAGUUAUUUUUUCCAGGAAGAGACUUGUUUCCAGGCACUGAGCUAGGUUCUAAGGGAGAUGGAGGUGUAAUCAACAUGAGGACCAUCUAAUGAGGAAGUGGGACCAGUACCCGUAUCAUGACAGUAGGAAAGGAAAUAUGUGCUAAAAACAGGGGAACCAUGAUGCCAUGAUGGUGCUGGCAAAUGAGAGAUGGGUAUUGAUGAACGUUAUCCGAUGAGAGACUAGUGUAGAGAAAGUCCUAUGUGUAUUCAAGAUUCAGCAAUGAGGCUAAUUUAGCUUGAAAUAUAACAUACAAAUAAGGAAGUAGAAGAAAUAAAACUGGG